AACGUCCCGUACACUUAGACCUGAAGCUUUCCAAGCUGUCAUAUAGGUGAACGCUGCGCGCCGACAUUGUGUCCAUCGCCAGUGAACUGUCCGUGUGAACUGCAGAACGUUUAAACCAUCGCAAAUCGCUUAGAAUUUGAGGAACUCUGCACACGAUACCUCCGUUAGGAGACUACUGCGCCCCCUGCUGAUAUGGGUAUGAAAAUGCUUCAGUGCUUCCCUUUCUACAGACGCUGCAAAGAAAGGUGCAAAAGACAAUGCCCACCAGACACAGUAGCACGUGAAGAUGUGAAAACACGACUGUCAUCCACUACCUCCUGGGGCAGUGAAGGAGACAGCAGCUGCCCGCAAGCCUAUUUUUCCCACAAGGCCCGGCUCUCUCUCCGACACCAGAUGGACAGCAACAUCAAUGCUGUGGACGCAACAUACUAACUCAUUACUGCAAGCGGUCUAUAGAGAAUCCUUGAAUGUGAACUUCUGUUUCAGUCUCAUUCAGUUUACAUCUCUACACUGAGAGUUUUUGAGGGAAACUGGAGGACGAGGUGUUGAGAGGAUGGAACAACCAGCAUGAGAGCUAUAGUGCUGUAAUUUUCAGUACCACGAAGCAUGCUCACAGGCAGACAUAAUGUCAGCUAUACUGCAAAAAUGUCAAGAUCAGUGUUUAGGCUCUGCAUAAUGGUACAGCCGAGUAUAAAUUGGUGAAAGGGGAAAUGGUACAAAAAACUUGAGUGAUGUUUACAUGAUCACUAACAACACGUUCUUUGUGUAGCACUUGCCUUCUUCUCUACACAUGCAUCUACAGUAUCUGUCUGAUUUUAAGCUGGGUACGUAUUGGUUUUUGUUUGUUUGUUUUUAAGGAUCCAACUAGUUUACUCUGGGCUAGAUACAAUAAGUGUCGACUUAUUUCACCAGUUAAAAUGAACAAUGCUUUGCAUCACUCAUCAUAAAUUGAGUGUACACUGUAAGAGCAAAUGAAUGUUUUUUUCUUUAACAUAAAUAGAAAGGUUUUUAAAGCUUAUGUGGCUUUCCUUACAACUGCCAUUUAACCGCUAGAAGCUAUACCAGUGUUUCACACCAAGAACUACUAACUUUAAUAUCAUUUCAAGAUAACAAAGCUCCAAGAACUUAAGUAUUAAUAUGCAGUUGGCCCAGUUUGUAAUUCUUUAUACGUUUUUUUUUGUAUUGCGCAUACAAAGUGAGGUGUUGGUCAAGAUUCAUUUAUUUCUUUUGCCACAAACGUUUGUGCAUCUAACUCUGUUUACUUUGUUUGUCUUGUGUAUGUUAAGGGGUUUUAUAAGUUAAAAAUACUUAUUUCUGUUCCUAACCCAAAAAUUGACAGAGAAUUCUGUUAACACUCCUGUAUAGUCAAAUAAUUAAUACUGUUAAAAGAUUUCUAAAGAAGGUAUUUUUGUAUGUUUUGUAUAAAAUUAUGUAUGUAAAUCCAGUUUUCACAAAAAGUAAAAUAGCAAUGAUAAAGAAUAAUAAAGUGAAACAUCACAACA